CGUUGUGGGGAGGGUUUAUGGGCUGUCUCCAUGACACCCGAGUAGGCUCCAAACAGCACACCCAAACACACACAGACGCAGGCGGUGUGGCUGCACGGUGGAAACAGAACGCUCAGCCAACUGUUCCCGAAACCCUCCUGCCACAGCUCACUGCGGCAAGGCUCACCCUGCGCCCUGCCCCAACCAGGCCAGCCCAAAAAGGUAGGCUCUGGGAGGGCAGGACACCAGUCCCAGGCAGGACAGCAGAAUGGCAGUGGGCAGUUGCCACAUCCCCUCAGCAGCGACACCCAAGGACCCUCCACACCACCAGGGCUGUGUUUUGGGACCAAGCAUCUGCUGGGAUCCAGACCAGUUAUCACUUAAGUUCCCACUCUCUGGGCCUGUGCCCCAGUACUGCCCUCAACCUCUGGCUCUACCCGUCCUGCCUGCCACCAGUCCCUCCUGCACUCAUCCCAUACAUCCAUGCUAUCUUCCUGGCAUGAUUUCCUAACCAAUUCCCUCAAAUCUCCAAUCCCCCACCAAACCAACCCAUGGCUUCCACAGUCCCCAAAUGAUCCCAAGCCACACUUCAGGCCCCUAAGCCAUUGGACCUAAGUCUCUUCUGCACAGACCUACCUAGGUGUCCCAUGUAGUAGUCAACCCGCCAACCCGUCCACUUCCUAAACUAGUAGCUCCCGGAUCCAGAGCAAGGGGGUGGGGCUCAGUGGGGAAUUCCCCAAACCAGCAAGAGCACAGCAGCCUUGGGACAGCGGGAUUCCCCCACCCUCGAGACACACACUCACACACACACACACACCCUUGAUCUUGGUCCGGGAGCUGCCCACCAGUCCUUGGGCUGGGAGAACAACCCCUACCCCCCCCCCCCCCCCCCCCCCCCCCCGUGCAACCGCAACUACUGUUGCUGAUUCAGCACAGGGAGGGACUGAGAGCACUCCAUGGCUGGAGGCCGGCUCCUCUCUCCCGACUCCAGGCCUCUUUAGGUUUCCAGAGCAACCACUCCGGAGCCCUUGGGCAGCCCCCAGUCCCCCGCCCACCAAGAGCCGCAGUGUGGCCUUGCCCAGGGCCAGUCCGCUGGCGCCUCAGCACAGCAAUCCCCACAGCCCUACCCAGCCCCCUUGGAGGACAGGCUGCAGGGCGGCAGGCUGGGGCGGAGGAGUAAGCCGCCAACUGCGGUAGGGCUGAGCUCCCACGGAGUCUGGGUCCCGCCCCUGCCACUGCUACAGCUUGCUCCGCCCCUGACACUCACUGCAGGGCUACAGAACUGCUGCAGGAGCCACCCCCUCCUCCCCGCCAUCCCAGAAGAACCUCUGCACCAGGAGGAGCCCGGGUGAGGGAUAAGCCUGGGGGUCUCCCGUGCCUUCGGCACAGCACACCCAGUGUUGCCCACCGCACGCCAGAUCCUGACUACCUCCUGCGGGAGACUGCAACCCAGCCAGAGGUCACUGCAUGGUCGCAGCUGUCCCCCCAUCCCACCUUUGAGGGAGCUGAUCUCGUGCUGGAUGGCUCUCGAGGGGUCCAUGUCUCUGAUGGGGGCCGAGCGUGAUGCAGCUAUCUCCACGCAGAGUCCGGCACCGCACCGAACUGCCCCGGCCAGCGCCGGCUGGGGGAGGAACCGGGAGGUGUGGGGCGGGGCCGGCCAGUCAGAGGCGGGGCUUCAGCUGAUCAAUGUGCGGGACAAGGCUGCCCUGGGCGCAUGCUCCCAGCCAUGGGUCGCUCCACCCCGUCCUUCCUAACCUGCUGUCCCACACCUGCGACCCAGCUAUCUCCAACCAGGCAGCACGGCCAUAAAACUGCAAGGUGGCACAUCCAGACAGCCUACCUCAGUCUCCAGCCUCCGCCACCCAGAGCCACACCUGGAAUGGCCUGCAGAAACCAUGAGCACAGGGCCUGUUUCUGGUCUUGAAGCCCUAACCACCCACUCCCUGCAGGAGACACCCCACUCCUGACUCCAAGGACCUCCUCAAGCAGCCUCCCCUGGGCCAUGACUGAAGGGCUGUCAUUGUCAUGCCUCAGGACCUCGGAUCAAGCCCAUCCACCCAGGAUAUGCAGUGACAAUACCCUUCCCUGGGGCCCCAUCCCUGCUCAAGCCCUUCUCCAACAUGCAGCUGAUCACCCCACUGGUCCUACAGCUCAAGAUGCUUCUGUGCCCCAUGGGGACCGCACAAGCCCCAGCCUCUGUCUCCCCUAGCCCUUGGAGGCCCUUGUCUGCUCAGUUCUGUGGGUACCCAACUAACCACCACUUAGUGGCUUACACCAAAACCCUGGGGUCAUCACUCCUCAUAGCCAGGCCCACAGGAUCUGCUGGUACUGCCUAUCAGUCCAGUUGUCACCCAUCUCCAUUGCCAUCAGAAUGACACGCAGCUCCUUGCUGAGCUGACCCCACCUCUCCACCACCUCCAGGGAACCAACAGCAGCUGCUCUGGGCCACCACCCCAGCCAGUGGCAGUGAACUGUCACUCCUGCCUCUUGGAGAGACCAUCUGGACUGCAGGAAGAGAUCAGCUCUGCCUCUCUGCAGGCUGCAGAAAUCAUCAGGAACACUUGGGCCAUGCCCAUUCCACGGGGCAUGCACCCCAGGUCCUCUGUGCUGGGUGGGCAGUGUGGAACACAGAUGGGUCUCCACAAGAUGUGCCAAUAGCCUCGGUCUCCUGAAGACCUAAGUCUCUCUCCCAGCUGCUCAGAUCCACACCCUGCCAGGCAGGACUACCUCCUUAGGGUGCCCACCCUUUCUACAGGCAGGCCUGUGUAUGACUGGCCAGGGCUGGGAUAGAGGACAUGGCAACGCCACACACAGGCUAACAGGCCAAGGAGCAGCAAGUGCCAGGCCCACCUGGGCUCCAGACCCAGCAGGCCUGGGGGUCCCUCAGCCUCCACCUCUGCUCUCCCUGGGGCUCAACCAGUCCAGGGCAUGAGUGGGUCUCACUAAACACCAGUUGCCUGAAUAUUUGGGGAAAAUAAUGAAGUGUGGAAUUAAAACA
rnacentral:lncRNA from 1 species